AGUGACACUUAAUCACUGUAAGUGCAAGGUGCAGGGGUUGGGGAGGCUGUGGUCCUAGUGGACAAGAGCAGAGUCCUGCCUGGCAGUCUCUGCUUUGCCUUGUGCCUGCAGUGACUGGACAUCACCAGGCCUAUGGCAGUGCAGGGAGCCCAGUACACGAACUACUUACUAGUAUCUUAACGAUUGCUCUCUCUCCCAACUCCCAGUUCACUCCUGUCCAAAAAUCUUAUCACAGUGUUGCCUCUCAGGUUCAUGGAGAACAAAUUAUUGUGCUAUGUGGUGGAGUCUCGUUGUGGUUAGUGGAUUCCUGGGACAAAAGCACCUUUGUUUAUGAAACAAUUACUCAGCUCCUCCAGGUUGUUCAUGUGUUAAAAAAACAAGUCCCUCUUUAUGGCAUAGUUCCUUGUGCCACUAAAAAGGAUGCUUGAUAUUUCAGAGCAAAGAGAAAAAAUAUAAAACAGGAUGGUUCGUGCUGCUUAUUCUCAGUGGAGAUAGAGAUACAGAGGUAAACAAUUUUUCAGGUAAGUCUUGUACAUGUUCUCAUUUCAUACAUGGUAGUAUCCUUAAAAUAAAUAUUAGUUUCCCGCUAUCCA
rnacentral:lncRNA from 1 species